rnacentral:lncRNA from 1 species
CUCGGCGGCAUAUUGUUACCUAAUUUAAUUAAUUUUCCCUAGCCAACCCUCACCCGAUCGAUCUCUCUUUUCCCCUCCCGCACGACUCUUUCUCUCUCCCCCUCACCACGUCCGUACGACCUCUGUCGUUCCGCACGUGCGCACACGACGUCAUCUGAUCGCCGCCAUCAUCUAUAGCCGCCUCCGCCGCAAUCCUCUUUGACCGUUAUUUUUGGUUCGCUAUAGACGGCAUCUUGCCGUCGUCUUCACUAUU